AGCAAGGAAGGCAUUGUAAAGGGAACCCCAGCUACUUAUUAGCCAUACCCUGGUAUGUCACAGCAUCCCAAACUACUGUAAGGAAUCUAGGUAAAUCACCUGCCCAUUCCUUGCCUCUCCUUCUUGCUGGGGGAGUCUCCAGACUGCAGGGCUGCAGACUGCCCCAAACUCAGGCCCAGGCCCUGGGGAGGCUGAACAAGCAGGGAUCUGUUGCCUACCACCAUCUGAUUCAGCCUCAACAUAAUGUGCAAUGUAAGGACAUUUGUGCCACAGCUUCGCUCUGUUGACCAGGUACCUUGACUAACAGAACAGGUGCCCUUUAGUGUUGGGCUGCCAGUGAACAGAUGCACAAUGGGGAUGUCAGUAAGAUGCAGAAGCAAGGUGGAGAAUGGAAGAAUAAUCUGCAACACACAAGUAUUUCAGGGUGGUGGCACUUGUGCUCUGAAGUAAGAGGCACGUAAAAUGGAGAAGGCCUGUUUUACAUGGGUGGCUUCAACGGAAAUACUUCUGAGCUACUCCAGUGCUAGUGUCAUGAGUCACCAUCUCAUUAAAUGCUUCAGAAGAGCCUGCAGCGUGAAAUAGUUGUUCAUCAUUGCCACAGGAUAAGCAUAUCCACAUCUUGAACAAUAAGAGAAAGAAGAGGAGAUGUAGUUGAUUCAAGUUCCCUGCCUAGGGGGAAAACGAGAGUCUCAACCUUUCCCGUACUGAAGUGGGCUCAGCAACAAAGCCACUUGGCAGCACUAAAUCUCAGCUCAAACUCAAUGAGCAGUGAUGAACCAACUUAAGCUGCUAUGGAGACAGCAAGUUUUGUUAGUCAGCCACAGCUGCCUCCUUGUUUCCCAGUACAUUAAAGCAUCCUCUUUUGAAACCAUAAUUUCCCCCCCUUAUUGAUGUUUUCCACACCUCUUUCUUUAAACUACUGACACUCACUCUGCCUCCAUAGCACCGACUACAAAAAUCUCUUUAUUAUCAAGAGUGUUUCAACAGAGAGAAGACAGAUGGUAAACUGAUGCACUCAGACUGUAAAAGAGGCCCAUCUGCGUUAUACACGGAGCUUGUCUCAACCAUUGAGGGCCAUGAAAUCAGCUAUCCAGACCUACUGCUUUAUUUUUUGCCUUUUCUGUAUGUGUAGGGAGCUUGGAUGAGUGCAUGAGGUCUCUCUGGGAUUAUUUGCAGUGUAAAGCCUCCCUCAUGAGGAGACUCCUGGGUGAAUUUGUUUCAAAUGAUUAUUUUAGCUUAAUUCAACAGUGGUGACUCCCUGUAAUGAUAAAGGGUUUGCAUCCCUGA
rnacentral:lncRNA from 1 species